UCUAGCAUUACAUGUGUUUAAAUUUAAUAAUUUGAUAUGUUGAUGUAUUUAUUAGUAGGUGGUAGAAUACUGAAAAUUUAACUUUAAAAACGAGUUACUUAGUUUACACAACACGGUGUAAAGUCAAUGUGCUGGAAAAUGAAUUGUUUUAAGAAAUUAUUUAACAGGGACUUAUACGCUGUUAUUGGAAUGAUACAUGUUAAACCACUUCCUGGGACUCCUAAACAUAGUAAUAAUAUUCAGUAUCUUGUUGACCAUGCUUGUAGUGAGGCAGAAGUAUAUGAACAACUUGGCUUGUUUUAAAUGGAAUAUCCGCUUGUGUAAGUAUUAUU